ensembl:lncRNA
CGACUUAUCUGUUGUCGUAUGUUGAAAUGUUGGGCAUCAUGAUCCAAUCAAAAGAAUAUGCAGGGAAAAGUGAUUUAGAUAACUCCAAUGCCAAGAAAAAUCAAGGUAGCCAGCGUACCCUGCCUGGAACAUGGCUACCAGGGUCCUAACCUGUAGCCAAGCCUGGAGAGAGGCUCAAGGGCGAUGAUCAGUUGGCCCAGCCGGGCUCAAGCUGAAGAAGCUAUAUGGGUCAAUUCUUCUGUGGGACACUACUUUUGGAUUUGUGGAUCGGGCAGAGGUCCUGGUGCUCUGAUGCACACAUCUGCGGUGAUGUGGAUCGAUGAGCGUCUUUCAUAGAGGAGCUGGGCUCUCCCUUAGAGAUGGGUCUCUUUCAGAUCCGACAACAUCUAGAACAUGAAAUCAUGACAGUGAAGUUUGUAUGUAGUUAAAUCCUAGAACCUCAACAGGGCUAAAAUAAUGAAACAGGUUUCCUGAGGACGUGGGCUUCCAUGCAAACCAUGACACCAGAUGGGCCAGGUCAACUUGGAGUGCAGAUCAACACAGCCCUGUCCUCCAGCACCAUCAGCAGCAGCAGCAACCCCUCAACAGCAACAUUGCACCCCAUCAGACUAGCUGGUGUCACAGGAGUGAAGAGGCCUCACCUUUGUGUCUUGAGAAAUCAACAAGAGUCAUCAGCGCCUCAAAGUUUAAUGGAAAUUGGGACCCACUGAGAGAGAGAAUUCCUGUGGACCUGCCUGAACUGAAGCUUUGGAUUCACUAACUGGAAAUCCUUCUGUUGUCACAUUCUGUUGUUACUUCACUGUAAAUAAACGCACUGAACUUAAUCCUGCA